rnacentral:rRNA from 1 species
CGCCUGUUUAUCAAAAACAUUUCUUUUUAGAAAUAGAGAAGGUAAUCCCUGUUCAAUGAAAAUUAAAUAACCGCAGUAUAGAUUGUGCGAAGGUAGCAUAAUAAUUUUUUCUUUGAUUGAGAGGUAGGAUGAAGGGGUUAAUAAGAUGAUAUCUAUGUCAGCAUGAUGUGAUAAUUUUAUAAGAAGGUUAGAAUGCCUUUUAGUGUUAAAGGGACGACAAGACCCUAGAAACUUUAAAAGAUUAUCAUAGAAUUGAGAACUAUUUAACUGGGGCGGUUGUUAUUAAAAACAAUAAAAUUAGGACAUUAUGAAUGGUUUAUAUAAUCUUAGGUUAAGCAAGAAGGUUAAGUUACUCUAGGGAUAACAGCGUAAUAAAAUUUAAGAGUUCAUAUCGAAGAUUUUGUUGCGACCUCGAUGUUGAAUUAAAGUAGGCUAUCUGGAGUAGAAGAUAGAGGUAGUGAGUUUGUUCAACUCUUAAAGAUUUACAUGAUCUGAGUUCAAACC